GACGAACGCUGGAGGCGUGCUUAACACAUGCAAGUCGAACGAUGAAAUGGAGCUUGCUCCAUGGAUUAGUGGCGAACGGGUGAGUAACACGUGAAUAACCUGCCCUUAAUUUUGGAAUAACCCAGGGAAACCUGGGCUAAUACCGGAUAAGUAAACCUGUGGCAUCACAUGGUUUUGGAAAGUUUUUCGAUUAAGGAUGGAUUCGCGGCCUAUCAGCUUGUUGGUGAGGUAAUGGAUCACCAAGGCGACGACGGGUAGCCGGCCUGAGAGGGUGAACGGCCACACUGGGACUGAGACACGGCCCAGACUCCUACGGGAGGCAGCAGUGGGGAAUAUUGCGCAAUGGACGAAAGUCUGACGCAGCGACGCCUCGUGAGGGACGAAGGUCUUCGGAUUGUAAACCUCUUUCAGCAGGGACGAAGCGAAAGUGACGGUACCUGCAGAAGAAGCACCAGCUAACUAUGUGCCAGCAGCCGCGGUAA
rnacentral:rRNA from 1 species